rnacentral:ncRNA from 2 species
ACUGAAUAGCCGAGGCUGAGAGGUCCCCGCCCGGGGGACCCUCGAGGGAAAAUGGUGCAUCCCCGGAUUCCUUCCAGGCCGGAGGGGAGCCAGGGAAAAUCCAUUGCUGCCCCGCAACUGUGAGCGGCGUUGAAAUCUGCACGGGCCACUGUCCCGCACCAGAUGGGAUGGGAAGGCGCAGAGAGUAAGGCAAGCCGCGAGCCAGGAAACCUACUCAGCCUUCCGGGUGUCG